rnacentral:tRNA from 2 species
GUAGACAUAGUUUAACUAAAACAUUAGAUUGUGAUUCUAAAGACAAGGGCUAAUAUCCCUUUGUUCACC